rnacentral:rRNA from 1 species
UACGUAGGGGGCAAGCGUUGUCCGGAUUUACUGGGCGUAAAGGGCGUGCAGGCGGUCUGUUAAGUCUGGGGUGAAAGCUCCCGGCUCAACUGGGAGAGGUCCUUGGAUACUGGCGGACUUGAGGGAGGCAGAGGAAAGUGGAAUUCCCGGUGUAGUGGUGAUAUGCGUAGAUAUCGGGAGGAACACCAGUGGCGAAGGCGGCUUUCUGGGCCUUACCUGACGCUGAGACGCGAAAGCGUGGGGAGCGAACCGG